rnacentral:rRNA from 1 species
GAUGAACGCUGGCGGCGUGCCUAAUACAUGCAAGUCGAGCGAACAGACGAGGAGCUUGCUCCUCUGACGUUAGCGGCGGACGGGUGAGUAACACGUGGAUAACCUACCUAUAAGACUGGGAUAACUUCGGGAAACCGGAGCUACUACCGGAUAACAUGUUGAACCGCAUGGUUCAACAGUGAAAGACGGUCUUGCUGUCACUUAUAGAUGGAUCCGCGCCGCAUUAGCUAGUUGGUAAGGUAACGGCUUACCAAGGCAACGAUGCGUAGCCGACCUGAGAGGGUGAUCGGCCACACUGGAACUGAGACACGGUCCAGACUCCUACGGGAGGCAGCAGUAGGGAAUCUUCCGCAAUGGGCGAAAGCCUGACGUAGCAACACCGCGUGAGUGAAGAAGGUCUUCGGAUCGUAAAACUCUGUUAUUAGGGAAGAACAAAUGUGUAAGUAACUAUGCACGUCUUGACGGUACCUAAUCAGAAAGCCACGGCUAACUACGUG